CGAAAUUGGUAGACGCUACGGACUUGACUUUAUAAAUCGUGAGGGUUCAAGUCCCUCUAUCCCCAAAAAAGGGCC
rnacentral:tRNA from 3 species